rnacentral:snRNA from 1 species
AUCACCUCUUGGCCUUUUGGCUAAGAUCAAGUGUA